GUAAGGAAUAUUGGACAAUGGGGGAAACCCUGAUCCAGCCAUGCCGCGUGAGUGAAGAAGGCCUUCGGGUUGUAAAGCUCUUUCAGAUGUGAAGAUGAUGACGGUAACAUCAGAAGAAGCUCCGGCUAACUUCGUGCCAGCAGCCGCGGUAAUACGAAGGGAGCGAGCGUUGUUCGGAAUCACUGGGCGUAAAGAGUGCGUAGGCGGUUAUACAAGUCAGGAGUGAAAUCCCAGGGCUCAACCCUGGAAUUGCUUUUGAAACUGUAUAGCUAGAGUCCCGGAGGGGUUAAUGGAAUUCCGAGUGUAGAGGUGAAAUUCGCAGAUAUUCGGAGGAACACCAGUGGCGAAGGCGAUUAACUGGACGGGCACUGACGCUGAGGCACGAAAGCGUGGGGAUCAAACAGGAUUAGAAACCCCUGUAGUCC
rnacentral:rRNA from 1 species